rnacentral:rRNA from 1 species
GACGAACGCUGGCGGCGUGCCUAACACAUGCAAGUCGAGCGGGAUCCAUCUGGUGGCAACACCGGGGAAGAUCUAGCGGCGAACGGGUGAGUAACACGUGAGAAACCUGCCCCGAACUUCGGGAUAACACGGGGAAACCCGUGCUAAUACCGAAUACCCUCUACCGGUCGCAUGGCCGGAAGCGGAAAGAUUCAUCGGUUCGGGAGGGUCUCGCGGCCUAUCAGCUAGUUGGCGGGGUAACGGCCCACCAAGGCAUCGACGGGUAGCUGGUCUGAGAGGACGAUCAGCCACACUGGGACUGAGACACGGCCCGGACGCCUACGGGAGGCAGCAGUGGGGAAUCUUGCGCAAUGGGCGAAAGCCUGACGCAGCAACGCCGCGUGCGGGAUGAAGGCCUUCGGGUUGUAAACCUCUUUCAGUAGGGACGAAGCGCAAGUGACGGUACCUACAGAAGAAGGACCGGCCAACUACGUGCCAGCCGCCGCGGUAA